rnacentral:rRNA from 1 species
AGAGUUUGAUCAUGGCUCAGAACGAACGCUGGCGGCAUGCCUAACACAUGCAAGUCGAACGAACCCUUCGGGGUUAGUGGCGCACGGGUGCGUAACGCGUGGGAAUCUGCCCAAAGGUUCGGAAUAACAGUUAGAAAUGACUGCUAAUACCGGAUAAUGUCGCAAGACCAAAGAUUUAUUGCCUUUGGAUGAGCCCGCGUAGGAUUAGCUAGUUGGUGGGGUAAAGGCCUACCAAGGCGACGAUCCUUAGCUGGUCUGAGAGGAUGAUCAGCCACACUGGGACUGAGACACGGCCCAGACUCCUACGGGAGGCAGCAGUGGGGAAUAUUGGACAAUGGGCGAAAGCCUGAUCCAGCAAUGCCGCGUGAGUGAUGAAGGCCUUAGGGUUGUAAAGCUCUUUUACCCGGGAAGAUAAUGACUGUACCGGGAGAAUAAGCCCCGGCUAACCCCGUGCCAGCAGCCGCGGUAAUACGGAGGGGGCUAGCGUUGUUCGGAAUUACUGGGCGUAAAGCGUACGUAGGCGGCUUUGUAAGUUAGAGGUGAAAGCCCGGGGCUCAACCCCGGAAUUGCCUUUAAGACUGCAUCGCUUGAACGUCGGAGAGGUGAGUGGAAUUCCGAGUGUAGAGGUGAAAUUCGUAGAUAUUCGGAAGAACACCAGUGGCGAAGGCGGCUCACUGGACGACUGUUGACGCUGAGGUACGAAAGCGUGGGGAGCAAACAGGAUUAGAUACCCUAGUAGUCC